CUUCUUUAGUGCAAAUACCCCAUAAUGGUUAAUUUCAGGGCCGCGUAACACUGAGUAGCAGAGGCAUGCACUAAUCAGAUCUCAUUAGGUCCUAAGGACUGACUGUAGCAUUUGCUGCCUGUAAACAGGAGACAAAGGAUUGUUAGGGGCAUCAUAUCUGUUUGAGAGUGUUGACAUCUUACAAAGAUGAGGGGAAAGUCAGAGGUUGGGGCUGGUGAGGCUUCUCAGUGAUUUUUCAUGGAGAUUUUGCUGGUUUCUGAGUGAUGAUGUGGGCUUUAAAAAUAUAUGGACCAUUUGAUUUUCAGAUACCUAGGCAAUCAAGGUGAUAUUUGUGUUAUCAUGCUUUUUGUGUGUCAGGUAGGAAAAAAAUUGUCAGUUGGGAAAUAAUGCUUUUUUUUAUUCCUUAGCAUUUAGAGUUUAAAUAUAAUGACUUUAGUAAUAAUCCUACUAAUAACUAUAUGUGUCUUGGUAAGAUAUACUAUUUUUUCCACAGUAUUGACCAUUUAAUCAUUGAAGGUGUUAUGUGAAGAGAAUAUGAUGACUCUGAGAAUGUUGCUGGUACUGAAGUUUUGAUGGGAUCCAAAGAGUGUUAACGGUUCCCUAAUGAUGAAAGUGGACCAAGGUUAUUUGUUGGUAUCUUGAUAGAACAGACUGUGUCCUUAAAUGUAUUUAUCACAUGGAUCUACUUAGGUUCCGGUCAAGACAUCACUGUGUACAUACAUGUUUAUUAAUGGAGCUUUCCAGGUAUGCAGGCAAGUGAUAAGGAAGGAUAGAUAACACCCUUGACUAACACUGAGAAACCAUGAAAUUAGAACUGUGACACUGGAACUUGUGUUCUCAAGUCUUUUGCUCUCCCAUCAAGCUCUUUCCAAGUGCACAGAGAUGAGCUGCUGUUACAUUUCUCAUUAAAGAUGUUGUUUCCAGACAUCAAGGUAUAGACAUGCAAUGAGAUGUGCACCAAACACUGGGAUUUUUAGAUUUCUGUCAAGACCUUAUAGUAACCCUUUCAACUGUUGGUCAGCACACCAUGUAGAUACGGUGGUAAGUCUCAUGAUGACCAACAGUGGCAGUUUGUUGUAUCCAUGGCCAUGAUGAUCAAGAGGGAUAUUGUAGCCAGCCAAGAGAAAAUGGUGUGAAGAACAACAUCUCUGACCUUGAAGUUCUAAAGAUCUAAGUACUUCAGUUGGUUUCCCUGAUGAUGGAGGUGACCAAAAUUUUAAAGUUGUCCUUUCUUUCUCCUCUCAGUAGAAAGACGAUGCAUCCUAAACACACAUCUCAAAGUGUUGUCUAAGAUUCCAACAGUUAUUAAAUUAUAGUGAUUGAACUUAAGGAUGGUAAUUUAUGAAAUGUUAUGACUAACCUGGAAAGUAAGAAAUUGUCCCUACCAAGAUGCCAACAAAUAACCUUCAGAUUUCUUGGUAACGUGGAUGGGAUAUCUAAACACAAUGUUACCCUGGCUUUUUGACAGGUAUCCCAUUAAGUUUUAUCCUAGUGUACAGGUUUGUGGACUUGAAAUCAUUAGAGGCAUUUCUUAUUUUUUGGUAUUUAUAUCAUGAAUGAUGCUUUUGAACUCCUGUGGUAACCUCUGCUUAGAACACAGUUCAAAAUAUGAUUUCUCAGUAAUGCUUUUUGUAAACAUGAGAUUGUACUAUGGACUUAUUUAGAGAUUGUGAUAGUUUAUUGUAUAGGGAUGUAGGUCAUUGACCAUAUUUCCUAUCCCCUAGUAUUGACAAUGGGAAUUUUGCUAGUGUUUCUUCCCAACAAGAUGUUAUUUCUUAGUAGGCUUUUACCUCAGUGUUCAGCUUUAGCCAUGUAAUUGUGAUAAGAAUAUGAUUUGUCAUGUUGAACGCUAUGACCAUGGGAAUGUGUCAAUAUCUUCCUUGAAUGACAUAGGUUCCAAAAUCAUUUUUCAUGAUUUGAUUUUCAAGUUCCUCUGAAGACACUGUGAUUAUCCUACCCACGGGAGUGAGUAAAGUCCAUAGAGGGUUAUGAGGUAAGUGCUGAGGUACCCUAAACCAGAUCUUCAUCUAUAGAGGAAAGGGAUGAGGGUGUCCUGACUAUUACUAGAUUUAGUGAUCACUGCUCCUAUAAGAAAUAAUUUUGUCUUUCACAGUUCUAGUAAGUAUGAGUUUAUCCUUUAUAUUCCAUAGGGAAAAUUGGUGUUUUAGCAAGGACUGCUGAGGGAGU
rnacentral:lncRNA from 1 species